rfam:Erythrobacter sp. HI0063 HI0063_c54, whole genome shotgun sequence.
GCGGGGCUGCCCGGUACGACCGAUCGAACAUCCCUGAGGCUAUAAGCAAUCCAAGGGAGCUGUCCCUUCCCUGGGGAUCGGGUUCGUCCCGGGAACCGGGGUAAACGGCGCCCACCUGACGUGAAGGCGUCAGAGGAUUUCAAGGCAACGACCCAUGGUGGUCCCGUC